rnacentral:rRNA from 1 species
UGCAUAUCAAAUAGCGGAGGAAAAGAAACCAACAGGGAUUGCCCCAGUAACGGCGAGUGAAGCGGCAACAGCUCAAAUUUGAAAUCUGGCCCCUAGGGCCCGAGUUGUAAUUUGCAGAGGAUGCUUUUGGCGAGGUGCCUUCCGAGUUCCCUGGAACGGGACGCCAUAGAGGGUGAGAGCCCCGUCUGGUUGGAUGCCGAGCCUCUGUAAAGCUCCUUCGACGAGUCGAGUAGUUUGGGAAUGCUGCUCUAAAUGGGAGGUAUAUGUCUUCUAAAGCUAAAUACCGGCCAGAGACCGAUAGCGCACAAGUAGAGUGAUCGAAAGAUGAAAAGCACUUUGAAAAGAGGGUUAAAUAGUACGUGAAAUUGUUGAAAGGGAAGCACUUAUGACCAGACUUGGACCCGGUGAAUCAUCCAGCGUUCUCGCUGGUGCACUUUGCCGGGCUCAGGCCAGCAUCAGUUUGCCCCGGGGGAUAAAGGCUUUGGGAAUGUGGCUCCCUCGGGAGUGUUAUAGCCCAUUGCACAAUACCCUGGGGCGGACUGAGGUUCGCGCAUCUGCAAGGAUGCUGGCGUAAUGGUCAUCAGUGACCCGUCUUGAAACACGGACCA